AUGGAUGUAAUUAUUUUUUCCCCAGAUGAUUCGACGCUGAAAUAACCGAGCGCUCCUUUAUUUUCUUCUACUUCGGAGAAGUUCAAGCCAAUAUUCUGGUCCAU